UGGUAGAUGGGAGGUUGAAGUAGGGAUACCAUCAUUCAAGCUUACUAGGUUUGAUAAGCUUUAAAGUUAUGUUCACUAGGAGGCUGAACUAUCCUUUGCCCAUAUGCAUUCUCUUCAAUAUAUGUUCCUCGCAGCUAGGAAUUGCAGAAGAAAUACUUUCAGUAGAAGGUAUUGCAGAAGAAAUUUCCUAUAUAUUCCUAACAAGCUUUGUGGAGAUUCUUUGUCUUUGAGCACUUAGUAAAGUCUGCAAUUAAUGUUGAGCACUAAAUUCAUAUUGGUAGCAAACAUAUUUAUGCUAUAGUUAUUGAUCCCGGAAUUUCAGAAAGUUUCCCUUACUUUAUCUCAAGUCUGGAUUUUCGGGUUGUUGACAGGGAUCAUUGAUAAAUAUUUGGGCAUGGAUGUGAUAAGCUAAUUGAUUAGUCUGUAUUGAUGACUUGGAGUACUGCAUUCAUUAUUUUGUAUAUAGCAUAAUUUAAGUAGAGUUCACCAGUCACCACUAUACUUCUGGCAGACAUAUGGAACUCAAAUUUAGGUGGACCCUUCAAUUUUUAGUAUGUUUAAAGGUUCAUUCGAUAGUGUUGAACUGCUGAAAAACUAGAGAGUAUCAUUACAUUUCUACAGAUUUUUUACUGAUGUGUGGGAUGUUGAGAAAGACUUCAAUUGUUGCCCUUUCCCUUUCCUUUUGAUAAAUAAAGGUUUCCAUAAUUUUUAUUUA